CACGUCGGUCAUUGGUAGCGUCCAUCUUGCUGGAAAGAUCGUUGAAAAAGAAAAAAAACUAGUCAAAAAUAGAAGUCAAUAGAAAUUGUCGUUUUGCCUCUCCGUUUAUAUCUCUGAAUUAUAAUUUUUAAGGAUCGAUUAUUUCUUCGCUGUUGGCGAAAACAUUUCCAUGGAAUCGAGUUUGAAAAAUUGGUUAUUACAGAUUAUGCAGAAUUAGAUAAUAAAUCAAAGAGGAAACAAGUACGAGUGGAAAGACGAGAGACAAAGGGGAUUCGAUUUACCGUUCUCUAAUAGCCGCCACUUAAUAUCGCAACAGGGUGAUGAGAACAAAGGCGAGUCAAGCUCAAAACGUCCGAUUGUUUUGCAUAAUUGAACGCCUCGAACUAGCUGCUUCUACUCGUCCGCAAAAUACCCUAUGAAAUAUAAUCGAUAUUCUCUAUGUUCGACUGAAUACGAGAGAAGAAAGAGAAGGAAAGGAACGCGAAGAGGCGAAGAAACGACACGAGGAAACAUAACCUCAAAUGUGAAUGUGUUCGGUUUCAUUUUUUUACAACCGAUAAAAGGAGAAUGAAAAACAAAAAGGAUGUAAAAUAAAGGUACGCGUAAUCCAUGUUUUAACCAACACUUUUUAAGCGUUAGAUUAGAUUAGUCAGAAAUGUACAAUCUCUCUCUGUCUAUUUGAAAGAUGAAAGACGAAUUUUAUCUGUGAUUAUCUCUAUCAUAUUAAUAAAGAUCAUUGAAUCAUCUCUGGAUAGAGAAUUGUUUAAGAUGGGACAAAGUAGCCCAAGAUAACCAGAAGAUAAAACGAGAUAUAGGGGAGGCGGGAAAAUACGAUUGACACUUCAUAAAAGUGAUAAGACGUAGAGUGAUGAUAACGUUUUGCAAUUUUUUUUUCCUUUUUAUAAAAUCGUUACGAACUUUUAAGUAAAUUUAAAAUUUAUUCGUAAUUUUUCGAAAGAAUUGAAACUUUGUAUCCUUCUUUUUCGGAUUCUUUCCAACGUUUAAAUUAUAUUUUCAACAUUGUUGAUCGAGCUUUUUGUACGGAAAAAAAUUUUUUUCUUCAACGUUACGCACUUCUUAUAUCUUGAUAUUAGAUAAUUUUUCGAAAAUGUUUCGAUUAGAUCGAAUAAAACAAAUUCGUUCGCUGAAAAUUAUCGUGUAAAUUUUUCUGAGUGUUGCUCGACACAGCACGAUAUAUUUGGCACGAGGAUUGCAUAAAAAUAUUAUAGUCGUUAAUUGACUCAAACGCGGUUAUCGGCGGGACAGCUGUCAUUCGAAGCCAAAUUGCGCGUGUAUGUGUACCAACUAUAAAAGCACGAUGAACUUGUCGAAGAUAGAUAACGAAAUUGCGUAAUUGAUAACGGCCACAAUGCAUCCAUCGUGAGUUUUGAUAUUUUUUUUUUUAAACCUACUAUAUCCAACGAAUAGUAAAUACGUGCAAGCCUGAAACGUUUAGCAACGUUAUCCGAAAUUUCUCAAAUUUUUUGAUUUUCUUCGGAAAUCAGGAAGGAAAGAUUAUUUUCGAGAAAAGGAAAAGACGAUUUUUUUUUUAAUUGUCGAAUUGAAAAAUUGUUUAGAAAUUCAAACGAAGAUUCGAUGGUUCUUUCGAUGAGAUUCGUCGUUUCGUUGUUUGUCAUUUGUGUUAAAUAUUUGAGGAUUGAAAAAUUAGCUCGUUAUCAUAUUUUCUUUGCUGCUGCUCGUGCUAAAAAUAAAUAACGUAUUUAAAAAGUAUAACGCAUGAAAGAAGAAAAUAAAAAAAGAAAAAAAUAAAAUUACCUGCCAAUUAAAUUUUCGAACGUUUUCGUGUUAAUCGUCGUGUUGCGAUCCGCAAAUGUAAAUCCGCGCUAAAAAUAUGGUGCACAUGGCUUAUUCGACGAAAGAUAGUAGCGAGAGUGUUUUGCACUCUUUCUGCGAGUGCACUCGCAUCGAUUCGUUCCACUUUCUCGUCUUAUCACUUAAACUACACCUCGUAACUGGACUCGGGUAUACGCAAAAUCACAUUUCAUGCAUACAGUUUACAUACAGUUUCGUUACUCCAAUCCAAAUAUAUAGGAAUUUACAUUUGACUUUCAAGUAUCAUUCUCCAUCUGUUUCGAUAAAGAGAAGAAAAAAGAAAAUAAUUAAAAUUUUACACCCGACCACGAUGAUGACCAAUAAUAAAUUAAUUUUAUUUACAAAGGAAAUAGCAAUAUAAAGAUCUCGAAUGUUAAUAAUAUUAUAUUUUAAUAAAUAAUAUCGUUUCUCGAAAAAUUAAA